UACGUAGGGUGCAAGCGUUAAUCGGAACUACUGGGCGUAAAGCGUGCGCAGGCGGCUUUGCAAGACAGAUGUGAAAUCCCCGGGCUUAACCUGGGAACUGCAUUUGUGACUGCAUGGCUAGAGUGCGGCAGAGGGGGAUGGAAUUCCGCGUGUAGCAGUGAAAUGCGUAGAUAUGCGGAGGAACACCGAUGGCGAAGGCAAUCCCCUGGGCCUGCACUGACGCUCAUGCACGAAAGCGUGGGGAGCGAACAGG
rnacentral:rRNA from 1 species